rnacentral:rRNA from 1 species
GAUGAGCGCUGGCGGCGUGCUUAACACAUGCAAGUCGAACGGAAAGGCCCAAGCUUGCUUGGGUACUCGAGUGGCGAACGGGUGAGUAACACGUGGGUGAUCUGCCCUGCACUUCGGGAUAAGCCUGGGAAACUGGGUCUAAUACCGGAUAGGACGAUGGUUUGGAUGCCAUUGUGGAAAGUUUUUUCGGUGUGGGAUGAGCUCGCGGCCUAUCAGCUUGUUGGUGGGGUAAUGGCCUACCAAGGCGUCGACGGGUAGCCGGCCUGAGAGGGUGUACGGCCACAUUGGGACUGAGAUACGGCCCAGACUCCUACGGGAGGCAGCAGUGGGGAAUAUUGCACAAUGGGCGCAAGCCUGAUGCAGCGACGCCGCGUGGGGGAUGACGGCCUUCGGGUUGUAAACUCCUUUCGCUAGGGACGAAGCGUUUUUGUGACGGUACCUGGAGAUGAAGCACCGGCUAACUACGUG